UUUUUCCCGUUACCGGUGCAGCAAAUUUUCAUUUAAAUUACCCGGUAUCUGUGGCUAUCAACCUUAAGCGAUCACCAGAAACGCCUGGAGGGAAGCGUAAAAACAAGAUUUCUGGGUGCCGCCCCCAGAGUUUCUGAUUCAGAUCAGGUGUCUGUGUCAUAAGGCCCUGGGACCUCUUGAGUAGAGAGGAAAGAGUGACAGACUAGAGGCAAUCUUCUCUUCCUUCCUCACAAGUUUGUCUCUGGCUCACGAGGGAGAAAAAAUAACAGGAGGAUUUUCCACUACCAGAAUAUCCUGGUAGAAUGAAUGAAAGCUCCAUGAAGUAAUCGAGACCAAUCUUUGCA
ensembl:lncRNA